UACGAAGGGGGCUAGCGUUGCUCGGAAUCACUGGGCGUAAAGGGUGCGUAGGCGGGUCUUUAAGUCAGGGGUGAAAUCCUGGAGCUCAACUCCAGAACUGCCUUUGAUACUGAAGAUCUUGAGUUCGGGAGAGGUGAGUGGAACUGCGAGUGUAGAGGUGAAAUUCGUAGAUAUUCGGAAGAACACCAGUGGCGAAGGCGGCUCACUGGCCCGGUACUGACGCUGAUGUGCGAAAGCGUGGGGAGCAAACAGG
rnacentral:rRNA from 1 species